UACGUAGGGGGCAAGCGUUGUCCGGAUUUAUUGGGCGUAAAGAGCGUGUAGGCGGUUUGGUAGGUCCGCUGUGAAAACUCGAGGCUCAACCUCGAGACGCCGGUGGAAACCAUCAGACUAGAGUCCGGAAGAGGAGAGUGGAAUUCCUGGUGUAGCGGUGAAAUGCGCAGAUGUCAGGAAGAACGCCCGUGGCUAAGGCGGCUCUCUAGUACGGUACUGACGCUGAGACGCGAAAGCGUGGGGAGCGAACAGG
rnacentral:rRNA from 1 species